UUGAAUCAGAUGCUAUGGCUAUUGCUGCUGCAGAGAUGCAUAAUCAAUAUGCGUUGUAUGUUUCAAAAUUCAAGGUUGAUAAUUUAAUUUGUGAUAACAAGAGUAUUGAUGUGAAGGUGAAACAGAUGUAUAAUGAUAAAAAGAUGCUCGUUUCUAUGAUGUUGAAAUAUCGUGUGACAUAUGGAUUCAAUUGCAGAGCUUAACAUUCUGACAAAAA
rnacentral:lncRNA from 1 species